rnacentral:rRNA from 1 species
GACGAACGCUGGCGGCGUGCUUAACACAUGCAAGUCGAACGGAAAGGCCCUGCUUUUGUGGGGUGCUCGAGUGGCGAACGGGUGAGUAACACGUGAGUAACCUGCCCUUGACUUUGGGAUAACUUCAGGAAACUGGGGCUAAUACCGGAUAGGAGCCCCUGCUGCAUGGUGGGGGUUGGAAAGUUUCGGCGGUCGGGGAUGGACUCGCGGCUUAUCAGCUUGUUGGUGGGGUAGUGGCUGACCAAGGCAUUGACGGGUAGCCGGCCUGAGAGGGUGACCGGCCACAUUGGGACUGAGAUACGGCCCAGACUCCUACGGGGGGCAGCAGUGGGAAAUAUUGCACAAUGGGCGGAAGCCUGAUGCAGCAACGCCGCGUGCGGGAUGACGGCCUUCGGGUUGUAAACCGCUUUCGCCUGUGACGAAGCGUGAGUGACGGUAAUGAGUAAAGAAGCACCGGCUAACUACGUG